rnacentral:rRNA from 1 species
GCUUCGGCGGGGGAGACCCCGCCGACAGAACGCAAACUCUGUAAUUAUUGCAUCUCUGAGUAUACUUUUAAUAAGUCAAAACUUUCAACAACGGAUCUCUUGGUUCUGGCAUCGAUGAAGAACGCAGCGAAAUGCGAUAAGUAAUGUGAAUUGCAGAAUUCAGUGAAUCAUCGAAUCUUUGAACGCACAUUGCGCCCGUCAGUAUUCUGGCGGGCAUGCCUGUUCGAGCGUCAUUUCAACCAUCAAGCCCCCAGGCUUGUGUUGGGAGCCUGCGGCUGCCGCAGCCCCCUAAAAGCAGUGGCGGGCUCGCUGUCAUUCCGAGCGCAGUAGUUACAUCUCGCUCUGGGCGUGGCGGCGGGUACCUGCCGUGAAACCACUUCUAAGGUUGACCUCGGAUCAGGUAGGAAUACCCGCUGAACUUAAGCAUAUCAAUAAGCGGAGGAAAAGAAACCAACAGGGAUUGCCCUAGUAACGGCGAGUGAAGCGGCAACAGCUCAAAUUUGAAAUCUGGCUUCGGCCCGAGUUGUAAUUUGUAGAGGAAGCUUCUGGCGCGGUGCCGUCCGAGUCCCCUGGAACGGGGCGCCAUAGAGGGUGAGAGCCCCGUAUGGACGGAUGCUUAGCCUGUGUGAAGCUCCUUCGACGAGUCGAGUAGUUUGGGAAUGCUGCUCAAAAUGGGAGGUAAAUUCCUUCUAAAGCUAAAUAUUGGCCAGAGACCGAUAGCGCACAAGUAGAGUGAUCGAAAGAUGAAAAGCACUUUGAAAAGAGGGUUAAACAGCACGUGAAAUUGUUGAAAGGGAAGCGCUUGUGACCAGACUUGCGCCAGGCUGAUCAUCCGGUGUUCUCACCGGUGCACUCUGCCUGGCACAGGCCAGCAUCAGUUUUGGCAGGGGGAUAAAGGGCGCGGGAA